rnacentral:rRNA from 1 species
UACGUAGGGGGCGAGCGUUGUCCGGAUUUAUUGGGCGUAAAGAGCGUGUAGGCGGCCAGGUAGGUCUGCUGUGAAAACUCGAGGCUCAACCUCGAGACGUCGGCGGAAACCAUCUGGCUAGAGUCCGGAAGAGGAGAGUGGAAUUCCUGGUGUAGCGGUGAAAUGCGCAGAUAUCAGGAGGAACACCCGUGGCUAAGGCGGCUCUCUAGUACGGUACUGACGCUGAGACGCGAAAAGCGUGGGGAGCGAACAGG